UCUUCUUUAAAGAUCUAUUACACAAUUUUACUGUCUUGCUAACCCGAAUAUUCUUUCAAAUUUCUCAAGUUGAAGGUUUAGUUGUGGAGGACGGCAUUUCACAUUCUUGACUAGGACACAAGUCAUUCUCCCAACGUAGUGAUUGAUCAUGUAGCUACAAGUCAUUAUAAUAAAAAUACAAAGUAAGUUUGUGAAAAUAAACAUGGUCAAGUAACUUACUGUCGUUAUGAUAUCUGGAUUUUUUGUUUACAAUUUUUUUUGACUAUAGCAUUAUUUUUCUAUCCUCAUACUUGUUAAGGUACACUGCUAUAAUAAUUUAAAAUGCAUGGUGCAUGGCUGCACUCUUCAAAGUUGUUUCUAAUUGCUA
rnacentral:lncRNA from 1 species